rnacentral:lncRNA from 1 species
GACGACACCGGUGUCCGGGUCGAGCACGCGGGUGCGCUUGCGGGCUUGGAAAAGAUAGAAGGGGUCGGGAUGCCCUGGGAGUGGCACCAUCCCUUCCUCCUCGGCCGCCGGGAUGUUUAUAUGUCCGACGAGCGCGAGAUGAGAUCAGGUCCGCUUGACGGGGUCGAAGUUGUAGACAGCGAUGACGGCCCCGGGGACGCGGCCUUCACGACCUCGGGCAGCACCAGCGCUGCCGCCACAGCCGCCGCGGUCAGCCUGGCCGUGAGCUUCUCCUGCACAGACGCGGAGGAUGCCCGGACGGCCGCCGCCGCCUCCAGCCUCGCCACCCCGCCGCAUGGUGCGCUGCGCGUGCUGCCAGAUCCGGCCCGUCUUGCCAUGGAUCCGGCUG